AACGAACGCUGGCGGCAUGCCUAACACAUGCAAGUCGAACGAGAAAGCUUCUUCGGAAGUGAUUAAAGUGGCGCACGGGUGAGUAACGCGUAGAUAACCUGCCCUUAAGUCUGGGAUAACUUUCCGAAAGGAGAGCUAAUACCGGAUAACAAAGAAAAUCGAGUGUUUUUCUUUUGAAAGCUCCGGCGCUUAAGGAGGGGUCUGCGUCCCAUUAGCUUGUUGGUAGGGUAAAAGCCUACCAAGGCAACGAUGGGUAGCGGGUUUGAGAGGAUGAUCCGCCACACUGGCACUGAGAUACGGGCCAG
rnacentral:rRNA from 1 species